rnacentral:ncRNA from 1 species
AAAUUAUUUCUAGUUUGAUUUUUAUUAUUAAUUUAAAUUAUAUUUAAUUAUUUUUUAAUUAUAUUCAUUUAAAUAAUGAUUAUUAGAUAGGGUUUUAAAGUAUAAUAAUUAGUUUUAUUCUAUUAAAUAAUUUUAAUUUAGUAAUAUUAAUAAAAUUAUAAAUUAAAAUUGUGCCAGCAAUUGCGGUUAAACAAUUUAUAAAAAUAAAAAUUAUUAAAUUUUAAAUAUAAAAUUAAAGUAGAUUUUUUAAAAAAUUAUUUAAAUUAUUAGGUAAAAUAUAAAAUUUAAAUUAGAUAUAUAAUAAAUUAAAUUUUUAAAAUUUUUUAAGUUUUAGAUUUAAACUAGGAUUAGAUACCCUAUUAUAAAAAUUAAAUAUAUUUUUUAGAAAUUUUAAUAAAUUUAAUUAGUAAAUAAAAAAAUUGAAAAUUAAAGAAUUUGACGGUAUUUAAAUCAGUUUAGAGGAAUUUGUUUUGUAAUUGAUAUUCCACAAUUUAUUUAACUUAUAGUAAAAUAAAAUUUAUAUAUCGUUGUUAUAAAAAUAUUUGUAAAAAAAAAAUAUUUUAAAGGUUAAAAUUAAAUUUAUAUCAAAUCAAGAUAUAAUUUAUCUAUAAGAAUUUAAUGAAUUACAUUAAUACGAAAAAAAAAAUAAAAUUAUUAAAUUAAAUAGUGAAAAUGUUUAUUUUAAUUGGAUUUAAUUGUAAUUUUAAAUAUUUUUUUAAAAUGAUUUUUGUUUUUAAAUAUGUACAUAUUGCCCGUCACUCUUAUUAGUUUUUAAAUUAAAUAAUUAAGAUAAGUCGUAACAAAGUAGAGAUAUUGGAAAAUGUUUCUAGAUACACUAAAAGUUAAA